CCUACGGGUGGCAGCAGUGGGGAAUAUUGGACAAUGGGGGGAACCCUGAUCCAGCCAUGCCGCGUGUGUGAAGAAGGCCCUCGGGUUGUAAAGCACUUUCAGUGAGGAAGAACGCCUGGUGGUUAAUACCCAUCAGGAAAGACAUCACUCACAGAAGAAGCACCGGCUAACUCCGUGCCAGCAGCCGCGGUAAUACGGAGGGUGCGAGCGUUAAUCGGAAUUACUGGGCGUAAAGCGCGCGUAGGUGGCUUGAUAAGCCGGUUGUGAAAGCCCCGGGCUCAACCUGGGAACGGCAUCCGGAACUGUCAAGCUAGAGUGCAGGAGAGGAAGGUAGAAUUCCCGGUGUAGCGGUGAAAUGCGUAGAGAUCGGGAGGAAUACCAGUGGCGAAGGCGGCCUUCUGGACUGACACUGACACUGAGGUGCGAAAGCGUGGGUAGCAAACAGGAUUAGAUACCGGUGUAGUC
rnacentral:rRNA from 1 species